AGAGUUUGAUUCUGGCUCAGAUUGAACGCUGGCGGCGUGCUUAACACAUGCAAGUCGAACGUGAAAGUCCUUCGGGGCGAGUAAAGUGGCGCACGGGUGAGUAACGCGUGGAUAAUCUACCCUUAAGAUGGGGAUAACGGCUGGAAACGGUCGCUAAUACCGAAUACGCUCCCGAUUUUAUCGUUGGGGGGAAAGAUGGCCUCUGCUUGCAAGCUAUCGCUUAAGGAUGAGUCCGCGUCCCAUUAGCUAGUUGGCGGGGUAACGGCCCACCAAGGCAACGAUGGGUAGCCGGUCUGAGAGGAUGACCGGCCACACUGGAACUGGAACACGGUCCAGACUCCUACGGGAGGCAGCAGUGGGGAAUAUUGCGCAAUGGGCGAAAGCCUGACGCAGCGACGCCGCGUGAGGGAUGAAGGUUCUCGGAUCGUAAACCUCUGUCAGGGGGGAAGAAACCCCCUCGUGUGAAUAAUGCGAGGGCUUGACGGUACCCCCAAAGGAAGCACCGGCUAACUCCGUGCCAGCAGCCGCGGUAAUACGGAGGGUGCAAGCGUUAAUCGGAAUCACUGGGCGUAAAGCGCACGUAGGCGGCUUGGUAAGUCAGGGGUGAAAUCCCACAGCCCAACUGUGGAACUGCCUUUGAUACUGCCAGGCUUGAGUACCGGAGAGGGUGGCGGAAUUCCAGGUGUAGGAGUGAAAUCCGUAGAUAUCUGGAGGAACACCGGUGGCGAAGGCGGCCACCUGGACGGUAACUGACGCUGAGGUGCGAAAGCGUGGGUAGCAAACAGGAUUAGAUACCCUGGUAGUCCACGCUGUAAACGAUGGGUGCUGGGUGCUGGGAUGUAUGUCUCGGUGCCGUAGCUAACGCGAUAAGCACCCCGCCUGGGGAGUACGGUCGCAAGGCUGAAACUCAAAGAAAUUGACGGGGGCCCGCACAAGCGGUGGAGUAUGUGGUUUAAUUCGAAGCAACGC
rnacentral:rRNA from 1 species